rnacentral:SRP_RNA from 1 species
GCCGGUGCAAUGGCUCGUGCCUGUAGUCCCAGCUACUCAGGAGGCUGAGGUGGGAGGAUCGCUUGAGCCCAGGAGUUCUAGGCUAUAGUACCCUAUGCCGAUUGGGUGUCCGCACUAAGUUCAGCAUCAAUAUAGUGACCUCCCAGGAGCGGGGGACCACCAGGUUGCCUAAGGAGGGGUAAACCAGCCCAGGUCUGAAAUGGAGCAGCUCAAAACUCCCUUGCUGAUCAGGAAUCACGCCUGUGAAUAGCCAGUGCACUCCAGCCUGGGCAACACAGUGAGAUCCCGUCUCU